AAAAGGGAAAUGUCUCCCAGCAGCCUCAGGAGCAGCGGAUUAAAUCUCCACAAUCAACUUGAUGUACCUGCAUCUGUGGAAUACCGGAAUAGACAACGAAUCAUCCCAAAAUUCAGGCGGUGGACUUUGGGAGCAACUGUAGACUUGGGGGUUCCCCCAUGUCCAAACCCAACCCAAAGCCAGAAGACCUGCAAUCUCAUUGAUGUGAUCCACAAAAGAAUGGAAUGUGUGUCUGCAGGGACAAGCUUGAAAUCUUUUCUUUUGUGGUUCCUGAGAAGUUUUCAUGUCAAAGACUUAUAAAAUGAGUCGAAGAGUGAACACUUUUGCUAUUGUCCGGAAGUGAUUGUGUAAGAUCGGAAUUCUUUGUUCUUGGAAUGCUUGGUGGAAGAGCUGUUAAAGCUUCUGGAGACUGGAGGAUGCUUUGUGGGAAGGUUUUCCAUUACUCACUCAAUUUUUUUAAACAGUUUGAGGAUUUUAAAAAAUUUUUUUCUUGCAAUCCGGAAGGCCUAAGCCAAAGUGACCCACUUCGGAGACUAUCAGAGCAUCCGGGGUCCUUGGAGUCUUAACAUCUAAUUUUGGAGACAGAAAGCAGAAGCCUAGGUUGGCGACAGCAGGCGUCCUACCUGCCCCCUCCCACCUCCAGGACACCGCAGAACCGGAAUAAAGCCUAAACCCUACUGCAAAUCCAGGGCCUUUUCUUUGACCCCAGCUGAUCGCCCCAAACCCUGCAGGUUGGGGGCCAUAUCCAGGACCUGUCACUCUGGCCCCCCUCAGUCAGCAAAGACGUGUCCCCAACAUGCAGAAUCAACCUCAAAAUCUCGAGCCACAUGUCCCUGGUCCCACCCCCUCACGGGAUGGCGGGCAGGAACACUGGACCUGGGGUGGAGAAGACCCACUUCUACCUCUUAGCUUUCCUUCCCCUGCAGCAUUCAAGCUGAGAAAAGCCUGACAUCUCAAAUGGUUUUUCUCUGUGACGUUAUUUCUAGAUGCACUCUGUGACCUGUUCACCUGAUGUUUCCCAUUUAACCAUUAAGAAGAUCCCCUUGCAGAGGCUGAAGAGCUAUGGAAGCACCAGUAGCCAGUGUCCGUAGGCAGCUGUCCUGGAGGUAGAAAAACCCUGCUCCCCUCCACCCUCCCCACCUCAUCUCACCCCUUCUCUUUCUUCCAUCCCCCCCAUCCUAAGUUCUGCCCCACAAGACAGACAUAGACUAAUUUGAGAUGUCAUACUCAGGGGAUAAGAUCCAAGCAGACUAUGUAAUCCAAAGCCUCCUAUUAUUACAUCAGGGACAGGCCCAGAGAGGGCCGGUAACCUCCCACAUCCUCCUCGCUGAAUGGGUGCCAGCUCACACUUGGGUGGUUGCUUUCUGGAUGCCAGGCCAGCUUCUCCCAGGGCGCGGCAAGAACAGCAACUACCCCCAGAGGGCCUCUCCUUUCCACAUCCCUCUGACAUCCUGUCCCAGGGCAGCCCCUCACCUGCAGCAGGUGGGCCUGGUCAUCCCUAAUGAGUCAUCCCUUGGAUAAAACCCUCCAACAUUUCACCUAACCCUGCCAGCCCACCUUCAUCCACAGCUUCAGAACCGAACUGGCCAAGGACAUUGGUGCCAACCCAAAGGAGAAAUGGGUCCGGAAUUAUAUGAAACACCUGGGUCAGAAACCUCACACCCUGAAGACUUGGACUCUUUCGGCCACACUAAGACCGAACCAGAGGCUGAGAAAUGAUUAUUCUCCCCCAGCCUUCCUGUCUCUAUCCUCGACUAAAUUGACCUGAAUUUUCAGAUAGGGUGCUUUCUGUUUCCUGAUGCAAAAUGUACUAUGUCUUAAGUAAUAUUGAGUAUUAUUUGAAUUGUGGCUGGUUGGGGAGUUAUUCUGAAUAUUGGUGAUCUCUUUUUUUAAAGCAGGGCCUUGAGCCACUUGGCUCCUGUCGUGAGCCCCAGCUCCUUCUCCUGUAAGCUGUGGACAGUGGGUCUUUCUCCUGCCUAACUCCCCAGGGGUAAUGAGCAUGCCUAUGAGAGCCACAACGAUGAAGGGCUACUGCAAUCUAGGGAGGACAGCGCCUGGUGAAUGUGAGGUGUUGCUAAAUGUGUUAUUAUGGAAACAUGAAUGCAAUUGUAGGAUGGCUGUCUUUUUGCAGAAAAUACAUUUUGCUUAAAAUCUCU
ensembl:lncRNA